rnacentral:lncRNA from 1 species
CUUGUUGUUAUUGCUCCGUCUUCAACGGUUGUGCGAGCUGCUUCGAUGUGUUUGUUUGAUCGUGUGUUAUUAGAUUUGCUGUAAUGAAAUGAGACGUAGUUCGCGAGCACGAAAGUGCCAGAAGAUGGCUUGAGUCUCGCUGUAAACACGUCGUAUGCGUGGCGCGCCAGCUAAAUGUGGACCAACGAUUUUCAUGCCGUGGAGUGCGUUCCCUUUGUCUCCGCUGGUUGUCGUGGAAAGUGGUGGACGGCGCAAAGAAGUAAUGUGUAUUAUUAGCGUGCAUCAGCUCGUCCACUACCCAGCCGCUUGUAUGCUGCAAGUAACAUCGCAGACGCAUCACUGGAAACUUGGAGAGCGCCUUUCGACCUCGUCGUACUGUUGAAACGUGGCGAGGCCGUGACCCACAACAUAAACUACAAGAUCGAGGAGCCCCCAGAAAUGCAGACCCUGUGGAUAUAUGGCUGCAGCAGCAUGGCGUGUGAUCUGGAUGGUCAUGUCAGGCUCCACCGUCGCCGAUUACUAGAUGGACCAAAUGAGGCCAAAAACUAGCCUUUCCUCGCUCCUUUCCUGGGAAGUGAAAUAGCAGGUGAUCAUGUAAGAAUGAACUUGCAACAUGUGAGCAGUGGCCAAAGCUCCAUACAGGUCAUGCUGGUGGUGGAAUGAUAAGACAAACCGCAAUAUUUAUUUGUUUACUUAUUCACUUAAUAUUUAUUUAUUCAUAUCUCAUUAAUACUGUGCAGUUUUCCAGCGAGGAAUCAGGUAAAAUGAAGAAAUAUCGUUGCAUUUACACAUUUUUAAAUGUAUCAACCUCAUCAAAUUUGGUUCCAUAGCUGCCGAGAAAAACGAUUUUACUGUUCAUGUGCAUUACAUAGGAGCUCCCGAGCUAAAUCUCUUUUUUAGUCAUUGCGUGUGUCGGUCUGGUUUGUAUUUCUCACCCUAAUUUUAGAAUAUUGGCUCUGAUCUCAAAAUUGUUUCCCUUAAAACGAAAUACAAGCUUUUAAACUUUGUACGAUAUAUGGUGUACUGCUCUAUAAAAACCACUGUUUGCCACAUUUUUGCAGGGCCUGCCAAUGCUAAUUUUACACAUACACAGACUAAAAUGCUGUGUGGUUUCGGUAUACGGUGUACUCAUGUGGGAAAGCCAGCCACUAUUUGCCACAUUUUUGCAGGGACUGACAGUGUUAUUUUUGCACUGAAACAGACUAAAAUGCUAUGUCGUUUCGUCAGGCUGACACAACAUUGCAGUGCACAUUCAUAUCAGUCUAUUCUCAGGCUUUAGUAUCCAACCAUUUAAUGUGCACUGCUGGAACAGGCACUCAUUUAGUAGUUUUAAUGGUAUGGUUUCUUGUCCUAGUCAAGCCUGUUAUUGCAAGGCGUCAACUGUAAUCAAGUCUGCCACUGACUUUUUUACCUCGUGUUUCAUGUGUUCGCACCACCAGCUUGACCUGAGAAGCAUGUUGGCAGCUACAGUUUGUGUGUUGCAAGUUCUAGUCUGAAGCGUGUAUGUCACAUAUAUGAAGCAUGUAUCUAGUCUGAAGUGCAAUAAACAUUUCAAACUGAAUA